CGCUCUGCACCAAGUGUAGCCGUAUUUAGAUACGGCUGUGCUGUCGAGAAAUUCUUGAGUGCAGCGCCUGGGGAUUACGGUCGCAAGACUGAAACUUAAAGCAAUUGACGGGGCUCUACCGGAACGCGUGAGACUUGCGGUUUAAUUGGACUCAACGCCAGAAACCUUACCUGAGCCGUUUAUAGUAAUGAUUGUCAGCUUGAUGAGCUUACGUGAGCUAUAAAUAGGUGUUGCAUGGCCCAUUUUAGCUCGUGCCGUGAGGUGUUUGCUUAAGUGCAAAAACGUAGCGAGACCGGCGUCCUUAUUUGCCAGUGAUGCAUCCGUGUAGAUCGGGUACAAUAAGGAGAUCGCCACCGCUGAGGUGGAUGAAAGAGCCGUCCAGAUGAGGUCUGUAUGACCCGUACGCUCAGGGCCACACGCGAGUCGCAAUGGCCGGGACAAUGAGAUGCAACGUCGAAAGACGACGCCAACCUCUAAACCCGGUCUCAGUUAGGAUCGCGGACUGUAAGCGUCCGCGUGAAUAUGGAAUGCGUAGUAAGGACGUUUCAUUAUGACGUCCUGAAUUCUCCCCUGGAGCUUGCACACACCGCCCGUCGCUUGAUCCGAGAUGGGAGGGGAUGAGGCGUGGUUAUCACUGACCAUGACGAGUCUUCUCUCGUUGAGGCGCAAGAAGUCGUAACAAGGUGCCCGUAGCGGAAGCUGCGGG
rnacentral:rRNA from 1 species